AUUGAACGCUGGCGGCAUGCCUUACACAUGCAAGUCGAACGGCAGCACGGGUGCUUGCACCUGGUGGCGAGUGGCGAACGGGUGAGUAAUACAUCGGAACGUACCUUAUCGUGGGGGAUAACGCAGCGAAAGCUGUGCUAAUACCGCGUACGCCCGGAGGGGGAAAGUGGGGGAUCGAAAGACCUCGCGCGAUUAGAGCGGCCGAUGCCUGAUUAGCUUGUUGGUGGGGUAAAAGCCCACCAAGGCGACGAUCAGUAGCUGGUCUGAGAGGACGAUCAGCCACACUGGGACUGAGACACGGCCCAGACUCCUACGGGAGGCAGCAGUGGGGAAUUUUGGACAAUGGGGGCAACCCUGAUCCAGCAAUGCCGCGUGAGUGAAGAAGGCCUUCGGGUUGUAAAGCUCUUUUGUCAGGGAAGAAACACCGGCUCUAACACAGUCCGGGAAUGACGGUACCUGAAGAAUAAGCACCGGCUAACUACGUGCCAGCAGCCGCCGCUG
rnacentral:rRNA from 1 species